CUUUGAGGUUACGUGUAUAUUUUUCUAGAAAUUCAAUCGAAAGCAAUAAAAAAAUUGUCAGAAAAUGUACAAAUGUCAAAAUACUAAUUCUUACCCAUAGAUUCACGAUAGACAAUGUUGCGCUGAUUAAAUUACAAAUGUCCGGAAAAGCCUGAGAAACUAUCGGAAUGCAGGAGCAGACCGUUGACAAAUGCCAAGAUGGGUAGACAAGAAUUGGGCCAAGGUCACGCACAAGGGUGCACAAUUCCAGGUACUACCUGAGAUCAGUAGUAAGCAGCUGUAAUA